GUGGACAUGUUAUUUCCUUUACGCAAUCCAGAAAAGAAGCCUGCCUUAGUGCUUCAUUCUAAAAAUCAGCAAGCAGUGUGUGGUUUAUUUGACUUCGAAGCUUUGCUGAUGUGAUGUGCAUCGCGCUUCUUUGCAACAAUGUAUGUGGAAGCUGCAAAAAGCAGCAAGACAUAGAGAUGUAAACAUAUGACUCAUAGAUAGAUUAUGAGACUUGUUCAUGGCAAGGAUUCUGCAGGCC